rnacentral:lncRNA from 1 species
AUGCUUUGGUAUUUAAGCUACAGGGACGGGCUUAAUGUUUUGUUUUCUUUUAUUGGGGUUAUGUUUUGUGUUAGGGGGUUUAGCUGUUGCGUCCAAUCCUUCUCCGUAUUAUGGGGUAGUUGGUUUAGUGUUAGCUUCUGUUGCAGGAUGUGGUUGGCUAUUAAGUUUGGGUGUUUCUUUUGUGUCAUUGGUGCUGUUUAUAGUCUACUUGGGAGGAAUGUUGGUGGUUUUUGUUUACUCUGUGUCUUUGGCAGCAGAUCCUUUUCCUGAGGCUUGAGGGGAUUGACGUGUUGUUGGGGGUCUUGUUGAGUGUUGGAAGAUUGGGGUGGUUACUGUUGACAGUGGGGGAAUAUUUUUGGUGCGGUUGGAUUUUAGUGGGGUGGCCAUAUUUUAUUCGUGCGGGGUUGGAAUGUUUUUAGUGGCUGGGUGGGGGUUGUUAUUGACUUUGUUUGUGGUAUUAGAGUUGGUGCGUGGGUUAUCUCGUGGGGCGAUUCGAGCAGUUUAGGGUUGGGGGAAAGUCAGAGAAUAGUUUAGUAUAAAAUACCAGCUUUGGGAGUUGGAGAUAGAGGUUUGAGUCCUCUUUUUCUGAUUCUAUAUAAGAUGAACUCUAAGAAGAGGGGCAGUCUUCAGUC